GACGAACGCUGGCGGCGUGCUUAACACAUGCAAGUCGAACGAUGAAGCCGGAGCUUGCUCUGGUGAAUUAGUGGCGAACGGGUGAGUAACACGUGAGUAACCUGCCCAUGACUCUGGGAUAACUGCGGGAAACUGUAGCUAAUACCGGAUACGACCCUUGGAGGCAUCUCCUGAGGGUGGAAAGAAUUUCGGUCAUGGAUGGACUCGCGGCCUAUCAGCUAGUUGGUGAGGUAAAGGCUCACCAAGGCGACGACGGGGAGCCGGCCUGAGAGGGUGACCGGCCACGCUGGGACUGAGACACGGCCCAGACUCCUACGGGAGGCAGCAGUGGGGAAUAUUGCACAAUGGGCGCAAGCCUGAUGCAGCAACGCCGCGUGAGGGACGACGGCCUUCGGGUUGUAAACCUCUUUUAGUAGGGAAGAAGCGAAAGUGACGGUACCUGCAGAAAAAGCACCGGCUAACUACGUGCCAGCAGCCGCAGUAA
rnacentral:rRNA from 1 species